rnacentral:rRNA from 1 species
GAUGAACGCCGGCGGCGUGCCUAAUACAUGCAAGUCGAGCGAACGGACGAGAAGCUUGCUUCUCUGAUGUUAGCGGCGGACGGGUGAGUAACACGUGGAUAACCUACCUAUAAGACUGGGAUAACUUCGGGAAACCGGAGCUAAUACCGGAUAAUAUUUUGAACCGCAUGGUUCAAAAGUGAAAGACGGUCUUGCUGUCACUUAUAGAUGGAUCCGCGCUGCAUUAGCUAGUUGGUAAGGUAACGGCUUACCAAGGCAACGAUGCAUAGCAGACCUGAGAGGGUGAUCGGCCACACUGGAACUGAGACACGGUCCAGACUCCUACGGGAGGCAGCAGUAGGGAAUCUUCCGCAAUGGGCGAAAGCCUGACGGAGCAACGCCGCGUGAGUGAUGAAGGUCUUCGGAUCGUAAAACUCUGUUAUUAGGGAAGAACAUAUGUGUAAGUAACUGUGCACAUCUUGACGGUACCUAAUCAGAAAGCCACGGCUAACUACGUG